CACCUUAAUCUCGUCAAGCCUCUGGUGUAGCUGAUCUAGACCUGCAUUCAUGAUGUUAGUAAUGGAAUCAUUCAACGUCCUCAUUUAUGAGUUAAACAAUCUAGCGACAUAAUUUCAUGGACGAUCUCUUUCUCCUUCACUAUCCAUGGUUUCCUGAAAAUGCUAAACACAAAAUUCAGUAGAUAAAAACCUCAUGCACUCAAGUGUUUACUCUCACCCACAGACGUGUUUCUCUCGGAAUUUAUGUAGUCACUCAAGAUCCUUCUCUCAAAGUUCUAAGAGAACAAAUCCAAGUAACCUAAUGGAAUCUCCAAG
rnacentral:lncRNA from 1 species